ensembl:lncRNA
UUUUUUUUAUUUUUUAUUAUUAAUUUUUUUUUUUUCCUUCUCUGUCAUGGGGGCUGAGAGUGGACGGAGGAGCUGAACACGCAGCGCCGGAUGAAACUCUAUGAAGCCUCGGUGCGGGUAAAUAAGGAGAAUUUAUGUUGGUUGAAAGGUUAUAGAAUAGGAAGUGUCUAUGGUCCAUUUCAAAAAAGGUGGCGGUAAUGCACAUAUUUGUCUGCGAUCCGCCGUUAAAAAGCAAGAAGAAGAAGAAGCCUGGAGAUGGUGUUCGAUCUCUUUUUGUGUGGAAGUGUGCUGUUUAGUAGUGCUUCCAUGUUUGUUUGUGCAUUGAUAUGGUCUGGAUGAGUAGACACCCAUUGUGCUGUCCUUCGUACACGUGAUACCGCUGCACAUGGUCUAGGUAGAUGUAAACAUCAUGGAUUAAUUUGCCAUUGGUCACACGCGUUCUUCUUUGAUCUGGGAAACCUUUGGAAAGUAGUUCGGGAUUGAUAGCAAUGUUGCAGGUAAUUGCAGAGGUUUUUAUAUAGGAUUUGUUAAGGUGUUACAUUUAUAUUUUACAUUUUAUAUGCUGCUGCCUGUCUUGGCCAGGUCACCCUUGCAAAAGAGGUUUUUUUUUUUUUUUUUAUCUCAAUGGGAUUCUCCUGGUUAAAUAAAGGUUAAAUGAAAUAAAAAAAAACAUUACUUUAAUGGGAUUAAAAUAAAUAAAGUAUUGGGG